GGCGAGGAGAGAAAGUAGAGAUCCGAUCGAAAUGGCGUGGCGGCGGUAUGGAGUGAGAGAAGCGAGGGCGUAAAAGAGGAAGGUGAGGGAGAGACACAUCAGCACGUGAUAAGCCUUGUCCAAUCCCAACCAUGGGACAUUAAAUUCAAGCCUCAAUCAGAGAGGAUGUAUUCAACUUGCUUGGUUUAUCAAUAGAAGAUGGAGGAGUUUAUACUUCCCAAACUGUCAAUGUUGUGAGUAAUUCCGGUGUAUAUCGAAUGACUAACCAUGACUAUAGAUUGAUUUUGACUAUAUAUUCUAUCGUGACAUGGAUUCAAUAUGAAAAGUUGACAAUAAUUGGGCUAACUCCAGUGUCAUUUAAAGAUGUUUUGGAUUUGAAAAACAAUCCAACUUAUUCAAUAGACGUUGUUGGAUUUGUUACUGCAACAUCAACUGAGAGGAAUUAUAUCAAGAAUGGUAUAGAAAUGUGAAAAAGAUUUUCUUGCAAUUAAAUGAUCACAUGUGCAUGGGCGAAUUUGAAUGUGCUUUAUGUGAUCAAUAUGCUGACACAGUGAAGUGGUUACAUGCAUAUUUUGGCAAUUCAAUGUACAAAGAUAUUGCCAUAUGGUUCCUUUUUGUUUGGUUAGUCCUAAUUUCAACAUUUCUUUUAGAAACAUAUCACUAAUUUAUAUAUUAAUAUACUUUUCAAAUUAUGUUUCAUCUAUUUUUAAAAGUUUACGAUCCUAAUUUAAUUUUUCAGGGGAUGCAGUUAUUGAAACUGUAUUAGCUAUGACUAAUAUUAUAUUCAAUCCUGACCUUCCUCAAACAACUUUGUUAAAAAAUAGGUAUACGUUAAAAAAAAUCUCUUAAUUUUGAAAUUCUAUACUAUUCUAAAAAUACUUUUUUUUUUUUUUGCGAGUUUUACUUUUCAGUAUGAUGGAGAAUGGUUUUACCAUUAAAACAACACUUCGAUAUGAUUGACUUGAAAGAAUUAACAAUAGAUUGAAUCAUGACUUCUUGAUCAUGAAGCCUAGAAAAAAGUUGGAGGUUUUUGCAAAUGAGUUGAGGCAUUUCAAAAUAUUUUCGUCACGGUAUAGAAUCAUUGCUCAUACAAGUAACAAUCUUUAAAAACUGUGAGACAAUUUUAGUGUUGAGAUUGGAGAGGGUCUUCUCACUUAUAUGUAAUUCACAUUCCCAAUUCUCCAUACAUGCUGUGAGACAAUUGUAGUGCACUGAUAUCACCUGUUAAUAGGAUAAGAGGAGGAUAUACGUUGCUUAACUUACCCAUUCUCAUGUCAAGUAAGAAUUUAUAUUCACACUUGCAGCAGAUCUUAUUUUUAAAUUCUUAAAGAUUACAAUAUUAAAGAGCAAAAUUGUUAACUUCUUUGGUCUCAUGUGACAUUUGUAAGACUCAGCAAAUGAGUUCACAGUAACUUCACCGUAGUUGCAGCACGAAAGAUGUUCUUUCGUUACACAAAAACAAACCUCAUAUUGGUCGGAAACUUGUAAUUACAUUGGAUUGGAGAGGAAAAAUUCUGCUGAUCUAGUAUAGGUAAUCCUCUGAUCCCUAUUAUUAUUUUAUUUCAACGAUCAUAUAUAUUUUUAACUUCUGAUCUCGUUUUUUCCCACCAAAAACUUCAAGUUAAAGUUUUGUCUACCGAAUUAUUUAGUUGACAUUAUCUUCAGGAAGUUUCUGAUUGCUAUUACCUUCUGUAAGAGUGUACCCAUCAGUUAAUCUGCACUAGUUAUAAUCCAAUCUAGAACUGAGGGCGAAAAACAACCAGAAGGUAGAGUAACCAGAGGUACAAAGAAUCCAUGCACCCACAAGAUUAGGUGCAAAUUAAUAAUGCAUUUCAUGGAUUUGGAUGGUCUACCGUUUAAAAUAAAAUUGUAUAAUUUCAUGGAUUUGGAUAUUGUGGUACUUUUAAGCAUAAAUGUUAGUAUUGGAGUUUAAGUAUAAAGUGAGUUUCACACCCGUUAAAGUUAAAUAUGUUGAGUAAUAUAUAAGUGAGAAAGAUUCACCUAUUUAAUGUCUUAAAGUUUUUAGUUGAUAUGUGAUAUCAAAUUCAUUUACUCACUACCCAUUGUAUGGAUGCUCCCUUAUAUAAAACUGUUGGGAUGCAAGCAAAGUCCCACAUCAUUCAAACAAGAGGAUGAACAUGUGUUUAUAUACACACAAUUGUCUCCAUUGAUUAAGAGGUCUUUUGAGUGAUGUCCAAAAGUAAAACUGUGAGGGCUUAGUCCUAAAGCGGACAAUAUCUCACCAAUGUGGAGACAUGUGUAUAUGUGUGGUAACUCCCUCCGUGCUCAACAAAAGCUUCUCCACCCAAUAGUGGUAUCAUUUAUAUUUUUGCCUUUACAUUGAAAGGUUUUUCACUUUACAAAUCUUUGUGUUUCUUAUGCGCUUGAAUUAUUUAUUUUUGUUCUAUUUUAUUGGUGCUCCUCGUUGAUUCUUGCAAGUAGGGGAAUUUAAUUUCUAUUGCGUUAUUGCUCAAUUUUAUUGAGUUGUUAUUGUAUUAAGUUUUUCCCAUCAGAGUGGCACUAGAGCUCUUUGGUUACGAGGUUGUUUGGCUUGCUUGAAUGAUAGAUGUAUACACGAAAAUGAUUUCUUUGAGUGAAACAAAUCAUCACUUGUGGAAGGACAAGAUGAAGGACUUACUAUUUGUGAAGAAUUUGCAUCUUCUUAUGAAGAAUGUGAUUUUGAGCAUCAACAUACAAGUAGGUUUACAAGACAAUUUGUUAAUGAUAAUGUCUACAAUUUUAUUGCCAAUGAGACACAUGCAAGAACCCUAUAGGAUAAACAUGGGUCCUUAUAUGCUUCUAAAUUAGAGACUAAUAAAUUAUACUUACAGAAGAACUUUAUGGAGUUGAAGUACAAGAAAGGGACUCCCAUUACAGAUCAAUUGAGUGAAUUUCAAGGGUAUUUUGAUCAACUAUCCAAAAUGGAGUGGUGUGCUUAAUGAGGAGAUGAAAAGGAAGACAUAAGGUACUUUAUCUCAUUCAAAGGUGCUUGUUAUUGAAAACAAGGGGAGAAGCCAAAAGAAAGAAUAGAAGGGUGGUAGAGACAAAAGUAGGAGCAAGUCCAAGUCUUGAUACAAGAAUGUGGAGUAUCACUUUUGUCACAAAACAGGAUAUAUACAGAGGAAUUGUUUAUUGUGGAAGAAAAAGAAUAAAGAUAAAAAAGGUUAGUAAAGAGAGAGAGAGAUCAUGAUGAUGGUGAUUGUGUUACUAUUGUUAUCAAUGAUGAUCUUGUUUUUCUCCACGAUUAUGAUGUAUUUAAUGAGAGCAUGUGGAUAAUAGAUAAUGAUGUUACAAUGAAUGUUACAACUAAGAAGGAGUUCUUCACAUCUUAUACUCCAUGUGAUUUUGGAGUAUUGAGGAUGGGUAGUGAUGACUUGUCUAAGGUGAUUGGUGUUCGUGAUGUUUUCUUGCAAAUCAACAUGGAGAUGCAAUUAUUGCUUAGAGGAGUUAAACAUGCUCCAGAUGUUUGUUUUAAUUUAAUUUAUGUGCAGGUAGCCAUGGUAAUGGGGCAAGGCCAAGGCGGGGGCGGGGCGCCCCCGGCGGGGUUCAGGUUU